UGCAGUCGAACGGUAAGGCCCCUUCGGGGGUACACGAGUGGCGAACGGGUGAGUAACACGUGAGCAACCUGCCUCUGACUUUGGAAUAACAGUUGGAAACAGCUGCUAAUACCGGAUAUGACUUACCUCCGCAUGGGGGUGGGUGGAAAGCUCCGGCGGUCAGGGAUGGGCUCGCGGCCUAUCAGCUAGUUGGUGAGGUAAUGGCUCACCAAGGCUUCGACGGGUAGCCGGCCUGAGAGGGCGACCGGCCACACUGGGACUGAGAUACGGCCCAGACUCCUACGGGAGGCAGCAGUGGGGAAUAUUGCACAAUGGGCGAAAGCCUGAUGCAGCAACGCCGCGUGCGGGAUGACGGCCUUCGGGUUGUAAACCGCUUUCACCCAUGACGAAGCGCAAGUGACGGUAGUGGGAGAAGAAGCACCGGCCAACUACGUGCCAGCAGCCGCGGUGAUACGUAGGGUGCGAGCGUUGUCCGGAAUUAUUGGGCGUAAAGGGCUUGUAGGCGGUCUGUCGCGUCGGAAGUGAAAACUCGAAGCUUAACUUCGAGCCUGCUUCCGAUACGGGCAGACUAGAGGGAUGCAGGGGAGAACGGAAUUCCUGGUGGAGCGGUGGAAUGCGCAGAUAUCAGGAGGAACACCGGUGGCGAAGGCGGUUCUCUGGGCAUUACCUGACGCUGAGAAGCGAAAGCGUGGGGAGCAAACAGGCUUAGAUACCCUGGUAGUCCACGCCGUAAACGGUGGGCACUAGGUGUGGGGGACAUUCCACGUUCUCCGUGCCGAAGCUAACGCAUUAGUGCCCGCCUGGGAGUACGGCCGCAGGCUAAACUCAAGGAAUGACGGGGCCGCACAG
rnacentral:rRNA from 1 species